rnacentral:rRNA from 1 species
AGCGAACGCUGGCGGCAGGCCUAACACAUGCAAGUCGAACGAACUCUUCGGAGUUAGUGGCGGACGGGUGAGUAACACGUGGGAACGUGCCUUUAGGUUCGGAAUAACUCAGGGAAACUUGUGCUAUACCGAAUGUGCCCUUCGGGGGAAAGAUUUAUCGCCUUUAGAGCGGCCCGCGUCUGAUUAGCUAGUUGGUGAGGUAAAGGCUCACCAAGGCGACGAUCAGUAGCUAGUCUGAGAGGAUGAUCAGCCACAUUGGGACUGAGACACGGCCCAAACUCCUACGGGAGGCAGCAGUGGGGAAUCUUGCGCAAUGGGCGAAAGCCUGACGCAGCCAUGCCGCGUGAAUGAUGAAGGUCUUAGGAUUGUAAAAUUCUUUCACCGGGGACGAUAAUGACGGUACCCGGAGAAGAAGCCCCGGCUAACUUCGUGCCAGCAGCCGCAGUAA